rnacentral:sRNA from 1 species
GCUUCUACCGUAGCUUAUUUAACCCUGACGGAAAAGGAGGAUGUCGUUCGGUUCUCAUCAAGACAAGAAUCAGGCUGGGGAACAAAGAGGAUAGAUAAACGUAUCCAGGACUGGGCUGGAGAACUAGGCAACAGUUGUGAAUAUUGCUGUCACUUCUAGAACUAAUCAGUGAGUAUGGGAUGGGCCAAGUUAAGGUAGAAAAACAGACGAUUUUAACUUUGUUCUUGGUCUGAGUUUCAGGAAUGUCCCCUGGCUUCUGGGUGACCUUGGACCAAAUAUUUCCUGUCCUUCUAAACUCAGCCUUUUGGAGGACCAGAGUUACCUUGAUUUGAUGAGAACAACCUGGGAAGUCCCCUCACACAUUUUUUUAAGACCGAUGUAAAUUGAGCCAGACAGCCCACAAACCACUUUAUCUCAAGAAAUUCUUACAAAAUAUUUGCCAAGUGGUCAGGCAGAGACUCUGAGAUGGGAAGCCAUUCACCCAAGAUCACCCAGGGAAUACAAGGCAGAGCUGGGUUGAAGCAGCCUUUUUGUGGAGAAAGACCAGCAAUGGUGUCCACAGAAGCCAGAAGAGGUGUCAGAUCCCUCAGAGGAUUGUGAGCUGCUCAACGUAGGUGCUGAGGACGCAACUCUGGCCCUUAUAACCAAGCGUUAUUCUCCAAACCCUUGAGGGAUAUUUGACAACCAGAUACUCCCUUCCUUUCUCCUGCCCCAACCUCCAACACCACGUUCUCCAGUUUUGAGUUCUGAUGUUAUCAAUGAUAAACCCUGAAGCGACUCCUGUCUUCACUGGGAACAUGGCAAUUAGACCACGUCAUUCUACUUUUAAACUCUAAGGUAUUGAUAUAAUGCAUGGAGUUCUGUUCGGUUGGAUUUUUGAGAUGGGGUCUUGUGUAGCCCAGGCUGGUCUUGAUCUCACUACGUAGCCAAGGAUGACUUUGAACAUCUGAUCCUCUUACCCCAACCACCUCCUGAGUAGUGGAAUGACACAAGUUUGGUAGCUGUGAGACAAGGUCUCACUACGUAGCCCUGGUUGUCUGGAACUCUUUACAUAGUCUAUCCCGUCCUUGAACCCAUAGAGAUCUGCCUGUCUUUGCCUCCUACGCACUACGAUUAAAGUUGUAUGCCACCAUACCCAGUGCUUUUAAUGUUCAUUCAGAACAGGGUCUUGCUGUGUAGUCUGGGCAGACUGCUCGAAAACUCUGUUUUCCUGCCUUGGCCUCCAGAGAGGUUACAGACAUGUGCCCGAUAGCUUUGGGAGCUAUGACUUCAGUGGGCUGUCACAGAGCUGCAGUGAAAGUGCCUGGUCUGGAAUCCCAGACUUAUCGCUGACCCACUAUUCCUCUGCUUCUGCUUCCACAGGGUUAAAUGAAGCUACUGGUCCUGGGGAGACGGCUCAGUGGGCAGAAGUGCCUGUCGUGCAUGCCAGACUUCGAUCCCUGAAACCCCCAAAGGUGGAAGGAAAGAACUGACUUCCCAAGGCUUUCCUCUGGCCUCCACAACUAUGCCUUUGCACUCCUGACCACACAGACAUCAUAUACACACAGACAUGCACACAGAUAGUAACAGUGACAUCGAUGAUGAUAAUAAAAACCUUAAAUGGAGAUACUAAUAGUCAAGGAAAUAAUGCAAUUCACAUAGGGCAGACCUGCCCAAUCCUAAACAAGUCUGUGGUGACACUACCAAUACCAACACAUGUAUGUAAUCAUCCACUUAUUUCUACUUUGUUCCGCUUCUGUUUUUUGUUUUUUGUUUU